AACCCCCCAUAAGCGUUUCGUUGGUCAUUGCCCUUCUGUACGCCCAUGCUGUUGUCCUUUCCCAUGGCUGCC
rnacentral:sRNA from 1 species